rnacentral:tRNA from 1 species
UGGAACUGACCCAGGUGGCAUGGGAUACGGUUUUGAAAACCGUAGUCUGCCGGAAGGCGGCUCGCAGGUUCGAUUCCUGUCGGUUCCGU